UAAGACAUGCAGUCGAACGGGCUGUUUAUGCAGCCAGUGGCGGACGGGUGAGUAACACGUAGGUGACCUACCCCAAAGUCUGGGACAACUAGGAGAAAUCUUAGCUAAUCCUGGAUGUGGACAUCUACUUUGGUGGAUGUUUAAAGCUUCGGCGCUUUGGGAUGGGCCUGCGGCGCAUCAGGUAGUUGGUGGGGUAAUGGCCUACCAAGCCGACGACGCGUAGCUGGUCUGAGAGGACGAUCAGCCACAGGGGUACUGAGACACGGACCCCACUCCUACGGGAGGCAGCAGUUAGGAAUCUUCCGCAAUGGGCGAAAGCCUGACGGAGCGAUACCGCUUGAAGGACGAAGCCCUUCGGGGUGUAAACUUCUGAACUCGGGACGAUAAUGACGGUACCGAGGUAAUAGCACCGGCUAACUCCGUGCCAGCAGCCGCGGUAAUACGGAGGGUGCGAGCGUUACCCGGAUUUACUGGGUGUAAAGGGCGUGUAGGCGGUCUCUCAAGUCCGAUGCUAAAGACCGAAGCUCAACUUCGGGGGUGCGUUGGAUACUGUGAGGCUAGACGGUCGGAGAGGGUAGCGGAAUUUCCGGAGUAGCGGUGAAAUGCGCAGAUACCGGAAGGAACGCCAAUAGCGAAAGCAGCUACCUGGACGAUUUGUGACGCUGAGGCGCGAAAGCGUGGGGAGCAAACCGGAUUAGAUACCCGGGUAGUCCACGCCCUAAACGAUGAGUGCUGGGUGUCCGACAUCUGUUGGGUGCCGUAGCUAACGCGUUAAGCACUCCACCUGGGAAGUACGGUCGCAAGACUGAAACUCAAAGGAAUUGACGGGGGCCCGCACAAGCGGUGGAGCAUGUGGUUUAAUUCGAAGCAACGCGCAGAACCUUACCAGGUCUUGACAUCCACGGAACCCUGGUGAAAGCCGGGGGUGCCCGCAAGGGAGCCGUGAGACAGGUGCUGCAUGGUCGUCGUCAGCUCGUGUCGUG
rnacentral:rRNA from 1 species